rnacentral:rRNA from 1 species
AGUCGGAGGGGACANNNGGGGAGCUUGCUCCUGGAUGUUAGCGGCGGACGGUGAGUAACACGUGAGUAACCCGCCUGUAAGAACGGGAUAACUCCGGGAAACCGGAGCUAAUACCGGAUAGUUCCCUGAUCCGCAUGGUUCAAGGAUGAAAGACGGUUUCGGCUGUCACUUACAGAUGGACCCGCGGCGCAUUAGCUAGUUGGUGAGGUAACGGCUCACCAAGGCGACGAUGCGUAGCCGACCUGAGAGGGUGAUCGGCCACACUGGGACUGAGACACGGCCCAGACUCCUACGGGAGGCAGCAGUAGGGAAUCUUCCGCAAUGGACGAAAGUCUGACGGAGCAACGCCGCGUGAGUGAUGAAGGUUUUCGGAUCGUAAAGCUCUGUUGUUAGGGAAGAACAAGUGCAAGAGUAACUGCUUGCACCUUGACGGUACCUAACCAGAAAGCCACGGCUAACUACGUGCCAGCAGCCGCGGUAAUACGUAGGUGGCAAGCGUUGUCCGGAAUUAUUGGGCGUAAAGGGCUCGCAGGCGGUUUCUUAAGUCUGAUGUGAAAGCCCCCGGCUCAACCGGGGAGGGUCAUUGGAAACUGGGAAACUUGAGUGCAGAAGAGGAGAGUGGAAUUCCACGUGUAGCGGUGAAAUGCGUAGAGAUGUGGAGGAACACCAGUGGCGAAGGCGACUCUCUGGUCUGUAACUGACGCUGAGGAGCGAAAGCGUGGGGAGCGAACAGGAUUAGAUACCCUGGUAGUCCACGCCGUAAACGAUGAGUGCUAAGUGUUAGGGGGUUUCCGCCCCUUAGUGCUGCAGCUAACGCAUUAAGCACUCCGCCUGGGGAGUACGGUCGCAAGACUGAAACUCAAAGGAAUUGACGGGGGCCCGCACAAGCGGUGGAGCAUGUGGUUUAAUUCGAAGCAACGCGAAGAACCUUACCAGGUCUUGACAUCCUCUGACAACCCUAGAGAUAGGGCUUUCCCUUCGGGGACAGAGUGAACAGGUGGUGCCAUGGUUGUCGUCAG